CCUACGGGAGGCAGCAGUGGGGAAUCUUGCGCAAUGGGCGAAAGCCUGACGCAGCAACGCCGCGUGCGGGAAGAAGGCCUUAGGGUUGUAAACCGCUUUCAGUAGGAACGAAAAUGACGGUACCUGCAGAAGAAGGUGCGGCCAACUACGUGCCAGCAGCCGCGGUGACACGUAGGCACCAAGCGUUGUCCGGAUUUAUUGGGCGUAAAGAGCUCGUAGGCGGUUCAGUAAGUCGGGUGUGAAAACUCUGGGCUUAACCCAGAGCCGCCACUCGAUACUGCUGUGACUUGAGUUCGGUAGGGGAGCAGGGAAUUCCUAGUGUAGCGGUGAAAUGCGCAGAUAUUAGGAGGAACACCGGUGGCGAAGGCGCUGCUCUGGGCCGAUACUGACGCUGAGGAGCGAAAGCGUGGGUAGCAAACAGGAUUAGAUACCCUGGUAGUCCACGCCGUAAACGUUGGGCACUAGGUGUGGGUUCCAACCAACGGAAUCCGCGCCGUCGCUAACGCAUUAAGUGCCCCGCCUGGGGAGUACGGCGGCAACGCUAAAACUCAAGGAAUUGACGGCUGAGACGNGCGACGACGACGACGAGGAGGAGG
rnacentral:rRNA from 1 species